UGCAGAUUUCACUUCGCUCCAGGCGCAUGAGGGAGCAGAGACAAAACCGAAACUGUUGCUGGCACAAUCUCAGAAACAGCCAGGAGUUCAGGAAGCCCCCGAGCCUGCACUCAGCUCCCUCCGACUGGGAGCAGCUGUUUGGGGAAGAUGCCUGUGUGACAUUAUUGAUAUAAACUGGGACCAUAUAGAACAUGGAUUGCAACCAAGGUCCUGUAGUGGCACCAAAUCUUAUGUAAAGGGGUCAUAUAAGGUGUCUAAGACCAGGUUCUGGGUUGCUGGUUAUGAUUAUGCUGUCUGUAUGUCUGUAUCAUUUUGUAGUUGAAGUUAUGAGUAUUGGCUGUAUACUGUCUGUAUUUCAAAUUGGUGCUGUAGUUCUGGGAAAAAGACAGGUGGGUGUUGGCUCUGCCUAGCCUGCUGGAUGGCCCAUUAAGGACCAUCAGCUACACAAUUGACCCAUUGAGAGGAGGCAGAUACACCUUGUAACUCAGCAGGGUGUGCAGGGACUUGCCCAUGUGACUCCAGACUCCAUUUUGCUGUAAUUUUCCACAGUAAGAACAAAGAAGUGUUCUUACACCUGGAAGAGCCUAUCUGAGGCUGAUGCCUCAUCUCCAUCUGAUCUCCAAUCCUGCUUCCUACCUCUGGAGGGACUUUGCUACAAGCUGAAGCUCUACACAAGGGACUGAUGACCCAUCCCAGCUGGGGAUGUUCUCCAGAGACUUGAUUUGAACCUGCAGUUUACUCCAUCACUGCUACAAGCCUGAACUAAGAACUUUGCCAUCACUGUAUGGAAUUGAUUCCAUUUAACCAAUUCUAGCUCUCAUCUCUACCUUUUUCCCCUUUAUGAAUAAACCUUUAGAUUCUGAA